GACGAACGCUGGCGGCGUGCCUAAUACAUGCAAGUAGAACGCACAGUUUAUACCGUAGCUUGCUCCACCAUAGACUGUGAGUUGCGAACGGGUGAGUAACGCGUAGGUAACCUGCCUGGUAGCGGGGGAUAACUAUUGGAAACGAUAGCUAAUACCGCAUAAUAUUGAUUAUUGCAUGAUAAUUGAUUGAAAGAUGCUAUUGCAUCACUACCAGAUGGACCUGCGUUGUAUUAGCUAGUAGGUGAGGUAACGGCCCACCUAGGCGACGAUACAUAGCCGACCUCAGAGGGGGAUAGGCAUAGCUGGGCUGGGGGCACGGCCCAGACUCCUACGAGUGGCAGAAGUCGGGAAUCCUCGGCAAUGGACGAAAGUCUGAACGAGCAACGCUGCGUGAGUGCAGAAGGCAUUCGGAUCGUGAAGGUCUGGUGUAAGAGAGGAACGGGUGUGAGAGUUGAAAGUUCACACUGUGACGGUACCGUACCAGAAAGGUACGGCUAACUACGUG
rnacentral:rRNA from 1 species